rnacentral:tRNA from 1 species
CCUCCCAUAGUUCAAUGGAUAGAACGAGGGACUUCUAAUCCCUAGAUCCAAGUUCGACUCUUGGUGGGAGGA